GAAAUGCGAUAAGUAAUGUGAAUUGCAGAAUUCCGUGAAUCAUCGAAUCUUUGAACGCACAUUGCGCCCUCUGGUAUUCCGGGGGGCAUGCCUGUCCGAGCGUCAUUGCGAACGCCUCAAGCACGGCUUGUGUGAUGGGCCCUCCCGCGUCUUGGUCGUCAAGACGGGCCCGAAAUGCAGUGGCGGCUUCGCGGUUAUCCGAUCAGCCAGAGCGUAUGGGGACUUUCUCUCUGUCACACGCCCGCGGCGCGGACCGACGCCUGUCGACCUUUAUUCAUCUUUUUCUCGGUUGACCUCGGAUCAGGUAGGGAUACCCGCUGAACUUAAGC
rnacentral:misc_RNA from 1 species